rnacentral:sRNA from 1 species
GGUACAGUGAUGGUGAAACCGCAGCAAC